UCUUCCAAUCUUAUAAUCUUAUGAAAACUUUGUUUCUAACUAAAUCAAUCAAAUAACAAUUCAAGUAAUAAUAACAAGAAAUUCAACCUCCAUGUAUUCUAGCUUUCUAAUUGGGUGAAUUAAGGUGUAUGAAUAUGGUGAAUUUCAAAUUCAUAAGAAGGGGGAAGAAGCAAAUGUGAUUCUAACUCUAUAUCAUUUCCAUGUCUUGAAGGUUGAAGCAUACAUGUUUUGUGUUCAUGCGGUCUUCUUGAUUCAUGAUUUUGGUUUUCGCGGAGGAGGUUGUCCCGGAUGCGGAAGAAAGUAAGUAUUGUAAAGAUUGAAGUUAAAGAUGCUUAAUGGAUAUGGGUUGCUUUGGUUAAAUGGGAUAAUGGCAUUGGUAAUAGGACCCAUAGUGACCCCUUUGAACUAUCGGCUCUUUGUACACUUGUUAUGUCUUUUUGGAGAAUUAUUAUGAUGUCUAGUGUUGGACUCGA